rnacentral:rRNA from 1 species
UACGUAGGGUGCAAGCGUUGUCCGGAAUUAUUGGGCGUAAAGAGCUCGUAGGCGGUUUGUUGCGUCGGCUGUGAAAUCCCGAGGCUCAACCUCGGGUCUGCAGUCGAUACGAGCAAACUAGAGUGUUGCAGGGGAGACUGGAAUUCCUGGUGUAGCGGUGAAAUGCGUAGAUAUCAUGAGGAAUACCAGAGGCGAAGGCGGCUCCCUGGACAAUAGCUGAC